AACGAACGCUGGCGGCAUGCCUAACACAUGCAAGUCGAACGAAGUCUUCGGACUUAGUGGCGCACGGGUGCGUAACGCGUGGGAAUCUGCCCUUGGGUGCGGAAUAACUUCUCGAAAGGGAUGCUAAAUACCGCAUAAUGUCGUAAGACCAAAGAUUUAUCGCCCAAGGAUGAGCCCGCGUAAGAUUAGCUAGUUGGUGGGGUAAAAGCCUACCAAGGCGACGAUCUUUAGCUGGUCUGAGAGGAUGAUCAGCCACACUGGGACUGAGACACGGCCCAGACUCCUACGGGAGGCAGCAGUGGGGAAUAUUGGACAAUGGGCGAAAAGCCUGAUCCAGCAAUGCCGCGUGAGUGAUGAAGGCCCUAGGGUUGUAAAGCUCUUUUACCAGGGAUGAUAAUGACAGUACCUGGAGAAUAAAGCUCCGGCUAACUCCGUGCCAGCAGCCGCGGUAA
rnacentral:rRNA from 1 species